rnacentral:lncRNA from 1 species
GCUGGGGGCUAGGAUGCCUCUCAUGAGAAGGUUGUGGCCAGACUGUAACGACAUCCAAGAGGAGGGCAUGAGUCUGAAGUCAGCUGAGCCUAUGGUCAUAAGAGAUGGGGUAGGUCAUCAAGGUAAGGGGGGUACUAGUGCAAGUCCCUCUCCUUAUGUGUCCUCCCCAUAAAGAUGCUGAUCUAGAAUACCUGGGGGGUGGAGAAGCCCUCUUUCCGAUCGACCCUUGGCCAGUUGAUUCAGCAGAAUAGCCCUGACAUUUGUGUCUUAUAUUUUUGGGCCGAGCCUGGCCAGGGCCAGACGGUGGAUUUCGAUGGCAUGGAGCACUUACACAG